CUGGCUUGACCAAAAGUAUAAGCUGGA
rnacentral:piRNA from 1 species